rnacentral:lncRNA from 1 species
CUGGAGACCUGGUUUUAAGGAAGACGGAAGUCUCGAAGCCUCUGGAUCAAGAAAAACUAUCUCCGAACUAGGAAGGACCCUACAAGAUAGCGGACACCUGAAGGCCGGGUGCCUACCGACUUGAGACCCUGGAAGGGACUGCCAUUCCCCGGACUUGGAAUGCCGACAACCUGAAAUUAUACCAUCAGUGAAUUCUGUA